rnacentral:rRNA from 1 species
UACGUAGGUGGCAAGCGUUGUCCGGAUUUACUGGGCGUAAAGGGAGCGUAGGUGGAUAUUUAAGUGGGAUGUGAAAUACUCGGGCUUAACCUGGGUGCUGCAUUCCAAACUGGAUAUCUAGAGUGCAGGAGAGGAGAGUGGAAUUCCUAGUGUAGCGGUGAAAUGCGUAGAUAUUAGGAGGAACACCAGUUGCGAAGGCGGCUCUCUGGACUGUAACUGACACUGAGGCACGAAAGCGUGGGGAGCAAACAGGAUUAGAUA